UACCGAGGAUGCAAGCGUUAUCCGGAAUGAUUGGGCGUAAAGCGUCUGUAGGCGGCUUUUUAAGUCCGCCGUCAAAUCCCAGGGCUCAACUCUGGAAUGGCCUUUGAGACUAGAGGACUUGGGUACGGGAGAGGUGAGUGGAAUUCCGAGUGUAGAGGUGAAAUUCGUAGAUAUUCGCAAGAACACCAGUGGCGAAGGCGGCUCGCUGGCCCGAUACUGACGCUGAGGUGCGAAAGCGUGGGGAGCAAACAGG
rnacentral:rRNA from 1 species